AACGAACGCUGGCGGCAGGCUUAACACAUGCAAGUCGAACGAGAUCUUCGGAUCUAGUGGCAGACGGGUGAGGAACACGUGGGAACAUCCCUUUCAGUUCGGAAUAACGUUGGGAAACUAACGCUAAUACCGGAUACGUCCUUCGGGAGAAAGAUUUAUCGCUGAAAGAUUGGCCCGCGUCUGAUUAGCUAGUUGGUGGGGUAAAGGCCUACCAAGGCGACGAUCUUUAGCUGGUCUGAGAGGAUGAUCAGCCACACUGGGACUGAGACACGGCCCAGACUCCUACGGGAGGCAGCAGUGGGGAAUAUUGGACAAUGGGCGAAAGCCUGAUCCAGCAAUGCCGCGUGAGUGAUGAAGGCCUUAGGGUUGUAAAGCUCUUUUACCAGGGAUGAUAAUGACAGUACCUGGAGAAUAAGCUCCGGCUAACUCCGUGCCAGCAGCCGCGGUAA
rnacentral:rRNA from 1 species